GACAAAAGCGUCGGUCUUAAGUGCCAUCAGUGGGGGGUUCGAAUCCG
rnacentral:tRNA from 1 species